rnacentral:rRNA from 1 species
UACGUAGGGAGCAAGCGUUGUCCGGAAUUACUGGGCGUAAAGGGCGCGUAGGCGGGUAUUUAAGUCAGAUGUGAAAACUCCGGGCUCAACUUGGAGACUGCAUUUGAAACUGGGUAUCUUGAGGGCAGGAGAGGAAAGUGGAAUUCCUAGUGUAGCGGUGAAAUGCGUAGAUAUUAGGAGGAACACCAGUGGCGAAGGCGACUUUCUGGACUGUACCUGACGCUGAGGCGCGAAAGCGUGGGGAGCGAACGGGAUUAGAUACCCCGGUAGUCCACGCCGUAAACGAUGAAUACUAGGUGUAGGAGGUAUCGACCCCUUCUGUGCCGCAGCUAACGCAAUAAGUAUUCCGCCUGGGGAGUACGGCCGCAAGGUUGAA